UACGGCCACAUCAUGUUUAAACAUCGGUUCCCAUACGAUCACCGAAGUUAAUCAAUGUAGAGUCUAGUCAGUACCUAGAUAGAUGACCGUUUGGGAAUACCAGAUGGUGUA